rnacentral:rRNA from 1 species
GCAGUAGAACGCUGAAGACUUUAGCUUGCUAAAGUUGGAAGAGUUGCGAACGGGUGAGUAACGCGUAGGUAACCUGCCUACUAGCGGGGGAUAACUAUUGGAAACGAUAGCUAAUACCGCAUAACAGCUUUUAACUCAUGUUAGGAGCUUGAAAGGUGCAAUUGCAUCACUAGUAGAUGGACCUGCGUUGUAUUAGCUAGUUGGUGAGGUAACGGCUCACCAAGGCGACGAUACAUAGCCGACCUGAGAGGGUGAUCGGCCACACUGGGACUGAGACACGGCCCAGACUCCUACGGGAGGCAGCAGUAGGGAAUCUUCGGCAAUGGGGGCAACCCUGACCGAGCAACGCCGCGUGAGUGAAGAAGGUUUUCGGAUCGUAAAGCUCUGUUGUAAGAGAAGAACGUGUGUGAGAGUG